CAGACCAUUUGUUUCACCAAGGACAACUGGGAAAGCGGGAGUAAGUAUGAAAUUUCUUGAAGGCAUCAGAGAGCUAACAUGAGAGUGAAAAACUACUGGGUCAAGAUCUCAUGGAGAGCAGAAGCUCAGAUUCAUGGUUUGAGUCCUGGAGGAGCUGCAGUAGACCUGGCCGCCGUGCGCUUCUGCUCCCUAAUCUCUCUAAUGGGUCUAGAAGGCCUACUGCUGUGUUAUGGAGAAAGAAGCAAAAUCGUGCAAGGAAAGCACUUCGUAAACGCAGAAGUGCUAGACGUUAUUAGUUCAUUUCUUCAGAGAGCCUCCGCAGGACCACUGACGGAAGGAUUUGCUAAACAAAUGAAAGCUGUGGCCACCUGGACUGGAAGGAAGGUUUCGCCCAGAAAACAACUCUCCUGCGGUUCAAAGGAAACAUUUGACCUCAUCGUAGAUUAUUCUUAAUCACUUCUUCUCCCAGGUCACCCAAGAACCCCUGCCUGGCAAGGGCCACACUUUGCCACGGGUGUGUUGGAAUGUCCCAUAGUGCACAGCUUUAGAAACGGGAUGCUGCUGGCCUUUCCCAGAACCUCAGCCGGGAACCCCACCCCAGAGCCUUCCAUGCAUCAGGGCCUUUUGGAUUCGAACCGGUCCUGAGCCUGGUUUCCUG
rnacentral:lncRNA from 1 species